UACGUAGGUCCCGAGCGUUGUCCGGAUUUAUUGGGCGUAAAGCGAGCGCAGGUGGUUUAUUAAGUCUGGUGUAAAAGGCAGUGGCUCAACCAUUGUAUGCAUUGGAAACUGGUAGACUUAAGUGCAGGAGAGGAGAGUGGAAUUCCAUGUGUAGCGGUGAAAUGCGUAGAUAUAUGGAGGAACACCGGUGGCGAAAGCGGCUCUCUGGCCUGUAACUGACACUGAGGCUCGAAAGCGUGGGGAGCAGACAGG
rnacentral:rRNA from 1 species